GAUGAACGCUGGCGGCGUGCCUAAUACAUGCAAGUCGAGCGAACGGACGAGAAGCUUGCUUCUCUGAUGUUAGCGGCGGACGGGUGAGUAACACGUGGAUAACCUACCUAUAAGACUGGGAUAACUUCGGGAAACCGGAGCUAAUACCAGAUGAUAUUUUGAACCGCAUGGUUCAAAAGUGAAAGACGGUCUUGCUGUCACUUAUAGAUGGAUCCGCGCUGCAUUAGCUAGUUGGUAAGGUAACGGCUUACCAAGGCAACGAUGCAUAGCCGACCUGAGAGGGUGAUCGGCCACACUGGAACUGAGACACGGUCCAGACUCCUACGGGAGGCAGCAGUAGGGAAUCUUCCGCAAUGGGCGAAAGCCUGACGGAGCAACGCCGCGUGAGUGAUGAAGGUCUUCGGAUCGUAAAACUCUGUUAUUAGGGAAGAACAUAUGUGUAAGUAACUGUGCACAUCUUGACAGUACCUAAUCAGAAAGCCACGGCUAACUACGUG
rnacentral:rRNA from 1 species